GCAGGCGUGGCGGAAUGGCAGACGCGCCGGUCUUAGGAACCGGUGUCAGCGACGUGCAGGUUCAAGUCCUGUCGCCUGCACCA
rnacentral:tRNA from 1 species